UCAUCAUGCGUUUCAUAGUUGUGUUUGCAUGCUUCAAGACUCUGAAGGACAGGCAAAGUUUCUUUUGUAAAUAUGGUAUGAUAAAUUGUGGUAUCAACUGAAAUUUCUCUGAGGCCAAACAUUAUACAAGGCAUUUAUAAGUAGAGAUAUUUAACUUAAAGAGCCGGAAAGUGGAAUAAGUAGGAGUUGAAAUGUUAGAAGUCAUAUGCAGGACUGGUUCUCACCAUCGGUGCAUUUAGUCUAUGAAACAAGACCUUUUUCCUGACCAAUUGUGUUCUAAUCAUUGCACCUUGAUUCCUACUACAUUCUAUCAAUUAUAUCGAUCAACUUUAGCUAAAUCUCAAACUAGUUGAUCCUUCCACGUUUUAUUGCCACUAAAUUUGAACAAUAUAUGCAUGUGUAAAUAGUUUGUGGGAGUCUUUUGGUGUGUAAUCAAUCCCAUUGUCAAUUGCUAUAGCUACAUCUUUGGUUGGUAUUCUCGGUCUUUUCCAUGGCAGUGUGUUAAAUCUUCGCUAAACUUCAUUUAUGUUAAUUGAACUUUUGAAAGUUUUUAAGAUUCAAGUAUUUGAAAUGCAUUUUUCUUCAAGUUGCUAUACUUGCUAAAGGAGGCCAAGUGUGCUAAUAUAUGAUAUGGGUGUGUAAGCUAUUUGAUAUAGUUAAAGCAGGCUGUCAUUUUUAUUAUAUGAUCAGUUGCUCAGUCAGUAUUGGAAUCCUUACCCCUAGAUGCAAUUUUAGUGUUCUAACUGAUUGCUAUCUAAUGUUGCAUAAACAAACAUUUGCGCUGAGGUUUUAGAACUCUUCUAAAAUGCACACUUUUAAAUGUGUUAAAACGCACAUUAGCUGAUUUAUAAAAACAGUUUUAUAAGAUACCGUGCGUCAAUGACACUUCUGAAUAACUUUGCUAGUUGCAUCACUAACAUAUUUUUCUUUCAUUUUGUGGGAGGGACUUGAUGUUUGAAGGCUUGAAGAAAUCCUGGAUCAUAAAUUCAGUUGCCCGACAAAUUUGCUACUUCAAGUGAAAGGUAUCACAGGUUAGAAACAGCUCUCCUACAUAAGCAGGACAACUAGUGGCUUCUGUUUGUUCGUUGUUAGCUUUGUGCAUCAAAUUGGUUGCUUCUCAAAGACCCAAAAUUAUUUAUAAUAAGGUUAAGAAGAAAACAUUAUGGCAAUGCAAAGUGGUACCUAUGCUGCUUGUGAUGAGAUCCUUGUAACAGCCUCUUGAACCCUGGAAAACAACAAGUUAUAAGAAUUAUCAGUAUGCAAGCGUGUAGCAUUUAAUUAAAAAAUCUUGAAGUCCGAUUAGAAGUUUUAUUGCCACAGAAAUAUUGAAUUUAUCAAAGGAAAAUGGCAUAAACUGUCAAAUUGUGUUAAGCAUUUACUAUUUCUUUCGCUUUUCACUCUUGUAAGUUGUUACCACUUUACUAAAUGGUUGUACUUAUCAAGUGCUCUUUUUACUGCUUUCUUUUUGUGUCGAUUUCUGUAGAAGUAUAGUUGUAUUUCUUUUCUGGAUGAGAGUAUUAUCUACACUUUCAUUCUUGUAAAGACAAUUUUUCUAACCAUGUGUCAAGGCCAACUUUUGUGCACCUCGACUAAUUCCACGGGAUAUCUUCUACCUCCCAUCAACAAUAGGUACUACAUAACUCUGUCCACC
rnacentral:lncRNA from 1 species